ACGUAGGGGGCAAGCGUUAUCCGGAUUUACUGGGUGUAAAGGGAGCGUAGACGGAUGGACAAGUCUGAUGUGAAAGGCUGGGGCUCAACCCCGGGGCUGCAUUGGAAACUGCCCGUCUUGAGUGCCGGAGAGGUAAGCGGAAUUCCUAGUGUAGCGGUGAAAUGCGUAGAUAUUAGGAGGAACACCAGUGGCGAAGGCGGCUUACUGGACGGUAACUGACGUUGAGGCUCGAAAGCGUGGGGAGCAAACAG
rnacentral:rRNA from 1 species